rnacentral:rRNA from 1 species
UGUGAGGGUUGCUGGAGGUAUCAGAAGUGCGAAUGCUGACAUAAGUAACGAUAAAGCGGGUGAAAAGCCCGCUCGCCGGAAGACCAAGGGUUCCUGUCCAACGUUAAUCGGGGCAGGGUGAGUCGACCCCUAAGGCGAGGCCGAAAGGCGUAGUCGAUGGGAAACGGGUUAAUAUUCCCGUACUUGGUGUUACUGCGAAGGGGGGACGGAGAAGGCUAUGUUGGCCGGGCGACGGUUGUCCCGGUUUAAGCGUGUAGGUGUGUGUUCCAGGUAAAUCCGGUUCACUUUAACACUGAGGCGUGAUGACGAGGCGCUACGGUGCUGAAGCAACAAAUGCCCUGCUUCCAGGAAAAGCCUCUAAGCAUCAGGUAACAUCAAAUCGUACCCCAAACCGACACAGGUGGUCAGGUAGAGAAUACCAAGGCGCUUGAGAGAACUCGGGUGAAGGAACUAGGCAAAAUGGUGCCGUAACU